AUGAACGCUGGCGGCGUGCCUAAUACAUGCAAGUCGAGCGAACAGACGAGGGGCUUGCUCCUCUGACGUUAGCGGCGGACGGGUGAGUAACACGUGGAUAACCUACCUAUAAGACUGGGAUAACUUCGGGAAACCGGAGCUAAUACCGGAUAAUAUAUUGAACCGCAUGGUUCAAUAGUGAAAGACGGUUUUGCUGUCACUUAUAGAUGGAUCCGCGCCGCAUUAGCUAGUUGGUAAGGUAACGGCUUACCAAGGCGACGAUGCGUAGCCGACCUGAGAGGGUGAUCGGCCACACUGGAACUGAGACACGGUCCAGACGCCUACGGGAGGCAGCAGUAGGGAAUCUUCCGCAAUGGGCGAAAGCCUGACGGAGCAACGCCGCGUGAGUGAUGAAGGUCUUCGGAUCGUAAAACUCUGUUAUUAGGGAAGAACAAAUGUGUAAGUAACUAUGCACGUCUUGACGGUACCUAAUCAGAAAGCCACGGCUAACUACGUG
rnacentral:rRNA from 1 species